rnacentral:rRNA from 1 species
UCUGGGAUAAGCGCUGGAAACGGUGUCUAAUACUGGAUAUGAGCUCUCAUCGCAUGGUGGGGGUUGGAAAGAUUUUUCGGUCUGGGAUGGGCUCGCGGCCUAUCAGCUUGUUGGUGAGGUAAUGGCUCACCAAGGCGUCGACGGGUAGCCGGCCUGAGAGGGUGACCGGCCACACUGGGACUGAGACACGGCCCAGACUCCUACGGGAGGCAGCAGUGGGGAAUAUUGCACAAUGGGCGGAAGCCUGAUGCAGCAACGCCGCGUGAGGGAUGACGGCCUUCGGGUUGUAAACCUCUUUUAGCAGGGAAGAAGCGAGAGUGACGGUACCUGCAGAAAAAGCGCCGGCUAACUACGUGCCAGCAGCCGCGGUAAUACGUAGGGCGCAAGCGUUAUCCGGAAUUAUUGGGCGUAAAGAGCUCGUAGGCGGUUUGUCGCGUCUGCUGUGAAAUCCCGAGGCUCAACCUCGGGCCUGCAGUGGGUACGGGCAGACUAGAGUGCGGUAGGGGAGAUUGGAAUUCCUGGUGUAGCGGUGGAAUGCGCAGAUAUCAGGAGGAACACCGAUGGCGAAGGCAGAUCUCUGGGCCGUAACUGACGCUGAGGAGCGAAAGGGUGGGGAGCAAACAGGCUUAGAUACCCUGGUAGUCCACCCCGUAAACGUUGGGAACU